rnacentral:rRNA from 1 species
UACGUAGGGGGCAAGCGUUGUCCGGACUUACUGGGCGUAAAGCGCGUGCAGGCGGAUUGGUAUGUGCCGUGUGAAAGCUCCCGGCUUGCCCGGGAGAGGUCGCGGUAGACAGCCGAUCUGGAGGCUCGGAGAGGUUCGUGGGAAUUCCCGGUGUAGUGGUGAAAUGCGUAGAUAUCGGGAGGAACACCGGUGGCGAAGGCGGCAUCCUGGACCGGCAGUUGACGCUGAGGCGCGAAAGCCAGGGGAGCAAAGCGGGG